CCACGGCUCGGUGCCGCCAAGUAUCCCCCCAUGUAUAUUCAAGGUAACGAGGGGCACCGGAACAUCGCUCACGCCCAACACUUCAAGAGCCAUCGACGCCGAGGGCGCCGAACGCGCCCAAUCCAUCACACUCAGGCGAGACAUCCGACGAAAGCACCUUCCACGAGGGAUCAUCUCACUUACUGACUGAAAUGACCACCUGGCUCGGCUUCAAGUGGUGAUCCAUAGUGUCGUGCUGCACUCGUGGUGUUUCCGAUGCGUCGAGUUUCUUCUAGUGCGACUGCGAAUCGAAACGUGCCAAGCGCCUCAACCAUAGAGAAAGAAAAAGACUAAGAGCGGACACUCCGCGAAAUCUGGCCUCAAGAACUACGUCACGGCUACGUAACGAACUAUUGCUCUCAUCAAACGCCAGGGGACGCAGGCGCAAAAAAAAAUAAAAUGUUGUAAUGAAUUCUGCUCAAUCGCUUUACAAAAUAAUAAUUACACACCCAAAUUUGGCGUGUUUCUGAUACAUAAAAGCAGAAUUUAUCGAAGACACCUUCCGUGCUUUUUGUUCUUCAUUCGUACUGCCAUCAACACCAAUCUGACCAAUCACCAUUCGUCCAUCGAGAAGAAAUCAACGACACCAGCGGCGUGCCAGCGGGAACGUCUCGUGAACGUCGGCUGCGGCGGUGUUCUUGUGUGUGAGAAAGACCGUGCUGAUGCCAUGCCGUCCGGCGGUCCAAGCUACGGCAGCUGCUGCUGUGUGUCGUGGUGCUUUGACAACGGCAGAACCCAGAAGAAGCCUAUCUUGACUUGGAAUAAAAACAUUGCGGAAA